rnacentral:rRNA from 1 species
UGGCUAACUCCUACGGGAGGCAGCAGUGGGGAAUUUUGGACAAUGGGGGCAACCCUGAUCCAGCAAUGCCGCGUGAGUGAAGAAGGCCUUCGGGUUGUAAAGCUCUUUUGUCAGGUAAGAAACGGUAGUAGCUAAUAUCUAUUACUAAUAACGGUACCUGAAGAAUAAGCACCGGCUAACUACGUGCCAGCAGCCGCGGUAAUACGUAGGGUGCAAGCGUUAAUCGGAAUUACUGGGCGUAAAGCGUGCGCAGGCGGUUGUGUAAGUCAGAUGUGAAAUCCCCGGGCUCAACCGGGGAAUUGCAUUUGAGACUGCACGGCUAGAGUGUGUCAGAGGGGGGUAGAAUUCCAGGUGUAGCAGUGAAAUUCGUAGAUGUGUGGAAGAAUACCGAUGGCGAAGGCAGCCCCCUGGGAUAACACUGACGCUGAUGCACGAAAGCGUGGGGAGCAAACAGGAUUAGAAACCCCUGUAGUCCAGCUGG